rnacentral:pre_miRNA from 1 species
AAAAAAUAUACCCUGAUUUUCAUGUCCAACGUUUGAAUGUCCGUCUUAUAUGAUUUUUUUUUUACAAUUAGUACUUUUAUUGUUGUUAGAUGAUAAAACAUGAUUAAUACUUUAUGCGUGACUUGUUUUUUUAAUUUUUUUUAUAUAUUUUUUAAAUAAAACGGACGGUCAAAUGUUAGAAAAAAACAGGGUUUAUCUUUUU